GUUGUUGACUUCAAAACUGUUUUUGUUUUGGAUUGUUUUACUUGGUGAGAUGUUUUUUUUGAAUGGAAUGUAACUCAUAAUAAGGCAGUGUGGUUGUGUUCCUAGUCCAGGACAGUUGGACUUUUGGAAUUAGAUAUAGUCGAAGUGUAGACUCUAAUUAUUAUCUGUAUAGUCAUUAUUCAGUCUAUGGGAUAUUGAGCUGUUAUAUUUUAAUUGAUACUGGAUAUUUCAUUUGUCUUAACUGAGCCUGUAUUAUAUUACAGGGUAUGUAAUAAACAUGUUAUAUGUUUGUGAAUUGGCAUUCUGAAUCUUUCUUCUGUCGUUAUAUGUGUCGGUACGGUAUUGCCCAGGACUUGGGUACAUUUAGUAGUCAGCAAUGAAGUACACAUACGUAUAUUAGAGAAGAAAAAGAGCCUUGACAAGGAGGAAGGACAUAAUCAUCUUCUUUUUUGAAGUAACGUCUGUAUUAUAUGUGAGCUUGCACUCCCAGAGCUAUUUUUAUAUUUUGCAGAAGUGUCAUCAAUGUUAAAGAUUAUUAAGUCAUAGCUCAAACCAGGUACAGGACUUAAGGGAAAGCCUGGAGAAGGGGUACUUGGUACCAUCAAGAUGGCAGUUCAAAGUUCAUAUUCCAUGGCUGGGCAUGCAAUAAGAAGAGCCUCCAGGCUUCUCUUAUCAAAAAGAGUUGCUGGAUUAGUGGAGAACUCACCUGCUGUUUUUCUUUCAACUGUAAGAGUUCUGUCAAGUUGUUUAUAUGCCAAAACUGUUUAAGACUUUGAAGGCUAAAAGAAGGAUGGGGUGCAGGAUAUUGAUCAUAACCCAGUAUAUUAUUGAAAACUUACUUCUGUACAGCUAAUUUAUGAGUAUGUUCCAUCUGUUUCUGCUUACUCAUGAGUUCAUUCAGCUUAGAAGUUUUAGACCUAAACAAACAAAAGUAAAGUAAAAGUGAUCAAUGGAUCUGUGAAAUAUAUUUAGCUACUAUUUUCAAAACUUGUAUUUGCUUUUAAAAUAGAAACUUGUUUAUAUUUGUUAAGUCUACACUUACUUCAAAUGUAUUUUAUAUUGUUCAAGUUCCACUGUCAGUAUUCUCAGCUGUGUGUUACUAUUAUCUAAUUCCUUGCUAACAUCUUUAGAAAUACAUCAAUAGCAAAAAAUAAAAUCAUGUCAGAAAAUG